rnacentral:rRNA from 1 species
GACAGAGGGUGCAAACGUUGCUCGGAAUUACUGGGCGUAAAGGGCGCGUAGGCGGCCACCGCAAGUCAGUUGUGAAAUCUCCGAGCUUAACUCGGAAAGGUCAACUGAUACUGCGGGGCUAGAGUGCGGAAGGGGCAACUGGAAUUCUUGGUGUAGCGGUGAAAUGCGUAGAUAUCAAGAGGAACACCUGCGGCGAAGGCGGGUUGCUGGGCCGACACUGACGCUGAGGCGCGAAAGCUAGGGGAGCGAACGGG